UUUCCUGAGGCAACCUGGAGAUGCUUCAAGAGCCUAUCGGAGAUGUGAGAAAGCCUGGGGUCCGAGCUGGGCCGAGGGCAGCGCGCCCUGGGCUGCGCGGGGGAAAUGUGCCGCUGCCUCCUCACCAGGAAUCCCACUGCAAAGCCAGAAAUCACUGCUGGUGUCCUAAUCUGCAAUCCAGCACCUCUAGACUGUGGAUUUUGGAUAUAGACUCGACUCAGAAAUCUGAGGCUCAGGCCUACCUUCAGCCAGCGAGAACGUCCCUGGAAGAUUAGAGGUGGACAAGAUGCAGAAAUAAUGUUCUUCCAGACUAAGUAUGCUGCAUGGGUUUCAGUGUUCUCCACGACAAGCAAGUUUUUCAUGCUUAAAGAAGCAUAAAUUUGUACAGAAAGACGCUUACGUGACGCCUGGAAGGAGGCUCGUCCGGCGUGCCGAUGGGCGGCUCCGACUCGAGCAGGUACCACCUGCGCUCCUGCAAUAUGCAACAGAGGCAUCUGCUCACGGAUUUAAUAUUCUCCAACAUCUUUUGGUAAUCUCGCUGCUAUUUAAUUGCACCCUAAAGGCAGUGAAACGUUUGAAAACCUCCUCGCUGGGCUGACGCGGAUACUUGCAUGAGCAGCCG
rnacentral:lncRNA from 1 species